UUCUUUAAGAAAUAAAUUAAAGUACAUCCUGCUCAAUGAAAAUAAAUAUUAAAUAGCCGCAGUUAACUGUGCUAAGGUAGCAUAAUAAUUUGCUUUUUAAAUAAAAGAUAGAAUGAAAGGCCAAACAUUUAAAACCUGUCUCUUUUUAAAAAAUUUAAUCUAAGAUAAAAGUAAAAACUCUUUUAAUAAUAGUGGGACGACAAGACCCUGAUAAACUUAACAAUUAGUUGGGGAAACAAAAUAAUAAUUAUUUAUUACUUAUAAAAAACACAACUUUCAAAAUAAAGAAUAGUUACUACAGGGAUAACAGCGUUAUUUCUUUUAAGAGACCUUAUCUAAAAAGAAGAUUACGACCUCGAUGUUGAAUUAAUUACCUAAUUGAAGCAACAAUUAAWUUAAGGUAGUCUGUUCGACUAUUAAAAAAUU
rnacentral:rRNA from 1 species